UACGUAGGCAGCGAGCGUUGUUCGGAAUUACUGGGCGUAAAGAGUGUGUAGGCGGUGCUCUAAGUUCGGUGUGAAAUCUCCUGCUUAACUGGGAGGGUGCGCCGGAAACUGGAGUGCUUGAGCGUGGGAGAGGAAAGCGGAAUUCCUGGUGUAGCGGUGAAAAUGCGUAGAUAUCAGGAGGAACACCGGUGGCGAAGGCGGGUCUCUGGGCCGUAACUGACGCUGAGGAGCGAAAGUGUGGGGAGCGAACAGG
rnacentral:rRNA from 1 species